GGUUAUGUUACUUACCUGUUUCCUCGUUGACUGUCCCCCCGCUCUGGAACGUGGGCUCCAUGAGGGCAGGAAUUACCGCCAUCUUGUUUAGCACCAUACCCCACCACCGGGAAAAGCCGGUUCCAUUAAUAAAUGGAACGAGUAGCAAUUCUAAAGCAGUGUUCCCAACCCAUGGAUUUCCUACUCUGUGAUGGGAACCUCAAGCCGAGGAGACAGAAUCUGUAUUCACAUUGAGCUGAAACCUAUGAGCAUAUCCUCUUACACCAGCAUCACUUCCUGCCUGAGCCUCGCCAGAGCCCAGAGGAAGUCGCUGUGGACUCAGGAGACUGUGAGAGGGUACCUGACAUGGCAGAGCCCCUAGAGAUUACAGAUGCAGAUUAAAGAGAACAACACAGAACAUUAGCUUUGAAUCAGUAUUGCACAAUUCUCAUGCACCCUGUCCUCAAGGCUUGGGAAUGUGAAGUAGCCAAGUAGAAAGAAACUCGAGUGGCACAUGAGUAAGAGACUUAGUAAAAACCUGGACUCCCGGACUCAGAUUUGUCUUCAGGGUAUUGUUACUGCCACAGGGAUAGCAAUCGCAGUGACAUUGGAAUGACGUUUGCUGGGCAGGGAAACAGUCUGUGGGCUAGAAAACUGUGAGUGGGCAGCCGUUUGAACUUCACUGCCAAGCUCCUUUCAGACAUGACCUUCACAGAUGAAA